rnacentral:rRNA from 1 species
GACGAACGCUGGCGGCGUGCCUAAUACAUGCAAGUCGAGCGGACGGAUGGGAGCUUGCUCCCAGACCGUCAGCGGCGGACGGGUGAGUAACACGUUGGCAACCUGCCUGUAAGACUGGGAUAACUCCGGGAAACCGGGGCUAAUACCGGAUAACUCUUUCCCUCACAUGAGGGAAAGCUGAAAUAUGGCAUCUCGCUAUCACUUACAGAUGGGCCCGCGGCGCAUUAGCUAGUUUGUGAGGUAACGGCUCACCAAGGCGACGAUGCGUAGCCGACCUGAGAGGGUGAGCGGCAAAACGGGGACUGAGACACGGCACAGACUACUACGGGAGGCAGCAGUAGGGAAUCUUCCGCAAUGGACGAAAGUCUGACGGAGCAACGCCGAGUGAGUGAUGAAGGUUUUCGGAUCGUAAAACUCUGUUGUCAGGGAAGAACAAGUACCGGAGUAACUGCCGGUAGCUUGACGGUACCUGAACAGAAAGCCACGGCUAACUACGUG